CGUAACCUAAGAAGAUUCGUGCAAGAGAAGAGGCGGCAAGGUGGUGGUUCGCGCUUGCGUUUUGUCGAUCAAGCCAUCUGGUUUAUCAUAACACCCUAAGGUGUUCGAAGAAGCAACGAGUUGAGUUGUGUUAUUGUCCGAAUGGAGGUUAGGCGCUAAUGGAGCUAGUUGAUUUGCGAGAGAUGUGGUAGCUCUUGAUGAUAAAUAAAGAUGGCUUAGUUACCCAUUUGCUAGUAGAAUUAAGUAGAUUUAUUCAUUAUGACCGGUUGACAUUUCAUAUUAUUGAUUGUAGAUUUCCUUUUAUUAUUGUGAUGAUACGAUGCUA